CUUUCCUUUUCAGUCGUCUGACA
rnacentral:miRNA from 1 species